GAUGAACGCUGGCGGCGUGCCUAAUACAUGCAAGUCGAGCGAACAGACGAGGAGCUUGCUCCUCUGACGUUAGCGGCGGACGGGUGAGUAACACGUGGAUAACCUACCUAUAAGACUGGGAUAACUUCGGGAAACCGGAGCUAAUACCGGAUAAUAUAUUGAACCGCAUGGUUCAAUAGUGAAAGACGGUUUUGCUGUCACUUAUAGAUGGAUCCGCGCCGCAUUAGCUAGUUGGUAAGGUAACGGCUUACCAAGGCGACGAUGCGUAGCCGACCUGAGAGGGUGAUCGGCCACACUGGAGCUGAGCCACGGUCCAGACUCCUACGGGAGGCAGCAGUAGGGAAUCUUCCGCAAUGGGCGAAAGCCUGACGGAGCAACGCCGCGUGAGUGAUGAAGGUCUUCGGAUCGUAAAACUCUGUUAUUAGGGAAGAACAAAUGUGUAAGUAACUAUGCACGUCUUGACGGUACCUAAUCAGAAAGCCACGGCUAACUACGUG
rnacentral:rRNA from 1 species